rnacentral:tRNA from 1 species
GCCCUCAUAGCACAGCGGUAGUGCAGCAGUUUUGUAAACUGAAGGUCGGGAGUUCAAUCCUCUCUGGGGGCA